rnacentral:rRNA from 1 species
AGAGUUUGAUCCUGGCUCAGGAUGAACGCUAGCUACAGGCUUAACACAUGCAAGUCGAGGGGUAACGUGAGAGAAGCUUGCUUCUCUUGACGACGACCGGCGAAUGGGUGAGUAACGCGUAUCCAACCUGCCGCACGCCCGGGAACAGCCCUUGGAAACGAGGAUUAAAUCCCGAUACCUUGUGAGCACGCAUGAGCAUACAAGAAAACAGGCAUGCGAUGGGGAUGCGUCUGAUUAGCUUGUUGGCGGGGUAACGGCCCACCAAGGCGACGAUCAGUAGGGGUUCUGAGAGGAAGGUCCCCCACAUUGGAACUGAGACACGGUCCAAACUCCUACGGGAGGCAGCAGUGAGGAAUAUUGGUCAAUGGGCGAGAGCCUGAACCAGCCAAAGUAGCGUGAAGGAUGACUGCCCUACGGGUUGUAAACUUCUUUUGUCCAGGAAUAAAAAAUCCCUCGUGAGGGGUCUUGCAGGUACUGGUUGAAUAAGGACCGGCUAAUUCCGUGCCAGCCGCUGC